AUUGAACGCUGGCGGCAUGCCAUACACAUGCAAGUCGAACGGUAACAGGUCUUCGGAUGCUGACGAGUGGCGAACGGGUGAGUAAUACAUCGGAACGUCCCUAGUAGUGGGGGAUAACUACUAGAAAGAGUGGCUAAUACCGCAUGAGAUCAAUGGAUGAAAGCAGGGGAUCGCAAGACCUGGUGCUAGUAGAGCGGGCGAUGGCAGAUUAGGUAGUUGGUGGGAUAAAAGCUUACCAAGCCGACGAUCUGUAGCUGGUCUGAGAGGACGAUCAGCCACACUGGGACUGAGACACGGCCCAGACUCCUACGGGAGGCAGCAGUGGGGAAUUUUGGACAAUGGGCGAAAGCCUGAUCCAGCAAUGCCGCGUGCAGGAUGAAGGCCUUCGGGUUGUAAACUGCUUUUGUACGGAACGAAAAGCCCCGGGUUAAUACCCUGGGGUCAUGACGGUACCGUAAGAAUAAGCACCGGCUAACUACGUGCCAGCCGCCGCCGUAA
rnacentral:rRNA from 1 species